UACGAAGGGGGCUAGCGUUGUUCGGAAUUACUGGGCGUAAAGGGCGCGUAGGCGGCCGAUUAAGUUAGAUGUGAAAGUCCUGGGCUCAACCUGGGGACUGCAUUUAAUACUGGUUGGCUUGAAUUCGGGAGAGGAUAGCGGAAUUCCCAGUGUAGAGGUGAAAUUCGUAGAUAUUGGGAAGAACACCGGUGGCGAAGGCGGCUAUCUGGACCGACAUUGACGCUGAGGCGCGAAAGCGUGGGGAGCGAACAGG
rnacentral:rRNA from 1 species